rnacentral:rRNA from 1 species
AUGAUCCCCGAGAAGAGGAUUCAUAUUAUAGUAGGUUUGUUUUCCAUUUCCAGGUCCCAUCCUUUUUUCGGGAAAUUCUUUUUUCAUUUUCCCAUCGGCCUAGAAUUGCCUUUCCUUCUCCUUUUGAUUUUUGUAUCAUUAUUAUUACUUUGGUUUCUUAAUAGGGGGAUGAUUCGUCGUGUAACCCGUUCCCCCAACGAAUUGCAUUUUCUUUUUCUUUGAUUUUUGUUUACCCAUGGAUUUCGUUUUGAAACUGUUUUAUUAGAUGACGGAGAGAAAGUUUUACCAAAUCCUGCAGGGGGUCAGGCUCAACCCGCAGACGCACCGCCAGCUCCACCAGUUGAAGUCCCUGCCAUUUUGAACCCGCCCCAGUUUCCAUCAUCCUUGGAUCCAGGCAGAAGGUCAGAGGAUCGAGUGCAAGAUGGCGCAGAGGCAGCAGCCAUGGGUUGUUGCUUGUCUUUUGUCGAGUGUCUCUGCACCAUGUGGUGCGAUAGCUUUUAG